UACUGAGUGUCCCCCACAAGCAGCUCAGGGGCCCGGUACCAACGAGUCGCCACAUAGUCUGUGUAGUAGUCACACGGACCGGCUGAUGGCACAAACCACAGAAACACAUGACAUAAGCCCUGUUUUUCAGGCGGCUGUGGAGCACACGGAGCAGCCUGGAUGUUCAACACUGAGGCUUUGUUAGUUCAGGGACCAUCAUCUAUCAGUGUUGCCGGGGAAAUGGCUAAAUCGAGCCUUGUGACUGGCAAUUAAUAGCAAUCUCCGCCCCUUCUCCACACUUUGUUUCCCCGUGUUUUGAACCCUCUGUGUCCAAGAGGCUACAGGCCGGGACCAGACAGGGGAACCAGACAGCGAAAACACUCCGUAUAAAAUGUGGCCGAGCCUAAAGAACCCCCUCUGGCAAAGCAUUCUGGGAGAGCAUCACUGUAAACAUUCCACAGUGAGCAGGUCAGCUUCCUGGGAGACAAGUGUUGUAUCCAUCAGAGCUGGACAAAGCGCAGAGUACGGUGUGGUAUACAUGUAAUGUAGAGAUAAUAGAAAGUACACAGCACUUUGUUUAAUGAAAAGCCACCGUACUCAGAUUUAUGCACUCGUUAUCUCAGUGUGACAGAGUUUGUACAGUACAACGAGCUGUGUGUUCAUUUCAUAUAAUUCAGGAAAAAGUAAAGAUGUAUAUGCUUUUUAAUGCAUUACUAAUAAAAGUUUGUAAAGCG